CCUACGGGUGACAGCAGUGAGGAAUAUUGGUCAAUGGGCGUAAGCCUGAACCAGCCAAGUCGCGUGAGGGAUGAAGGUUCUAUGGAUGGUAAACCUCUUAUAUAAGGGAAUAAAGUGCGGGUCGUGUCCCGUUGUGUAGGUACCUUAUGAAGAAGGAGCGGCGAACUCCGGGCCAGCAGCAGCGGUAAUACGGAGGAUCCGAGCGUUAUCCGGAUUUAGUGGGUAUAAAGGGUGCGUAGGCGGCCUUUUAAGUCAGCGGUGAAAUUCUGUGGCUCAACCAUGGAAUUGCCGUUGAAACUGGGAGGCUUGAGUAUGUUUGAGGCAGGCGGAAUGCGUGGUGUAGCGGUGAAAUGCUUAGAUAUCGCGCAGAACCCCGAUUGCGAAGGCAGCCUGCCAAGCCAUGACUGACGCUGAUGCACGAAAGCGUGGGGAUCAAACAGGAUUAGAUACCCGAGUAGUC
rnacentral:rRNA from 1 species